rnacentral:rRNA from 1 species
CUGAUGCAGCAACGCCGCGUGAGGGACGACGGCCUUCGGGUUGUAAACCUCUUUUAGUAGGGAAGAAGCGAAAGUGACGGUACCUGCAGAAAAAGCACCGGCUAACUACGUGCCAGCAGCCGCGGUAAU